GCAUAUGUUUGAUAUGAAGGGAUGAUUUUGUGACAUGUACGGUUCGUAUCCGGUUGAAGGCAAGUGUGUAUGAGAAACAAGCUAAUGUAUUAAACGCCGGUUUCAAACCAUAAACGCCAAAAAAAAUGGUGUGGAAUGGGAGCAGAGCUUGGAGUGGAUGUUCUCAGCGCCGUGGAGGUUUGCUUCUCCGGCAGAAUAGCGAUGAGACGCGCGGGCUGAAAAAUGACCGUAGGAGCCUUUAUGUUGGCGGACACAUUGGAGAAAUGGAUGUGCGGGCCGCAGUCAGCAUGCAGCAUCCCUCAACUCCCCUUCCCCCCCCCGUGUCGCCUCCGUGUCGCCACGCUGAAAAGGCGAGUAAAGAUUUCGGCUGCUGCUCUUGUGUGGAAAAAGUAGAAGAGAAGCUUCCAAGUUGUCAGCAGAUGACGCCAGACCCCCUGAGCUCAGCCAUUGGACAGCUCACAGACACGUGACCGGGGCAGCUUCCUGGUUGGACCAGGAUGAAGCAUCUGGAUGCCCGCUGGAGCCUCUGCAUGUUCAUCGCCAUGCAGAUCUUCCACAACAUUCCACUGGAUGAAUCCACAGACGAGCAUGUUGGAGCAUUCUGACAGACGCUGGAUAUAGAAGCAGAUGCCGUGUCAGGAAGCGGAGAACGUCGUAGAGCUGGAGAAGGAAUUCCACUUGUGACACGCUAACAUGUCGGAAAUGGCACAGAUCACCAGUUUUGGUUCUAGAAACCCAGGAUGAGGCAGCACAGCAGCAAGAAUGCCGCCCAGAGGUUUUUAUGUAACUCCAUAGAUAUCUCCAAGUUUUCCCGUUUUCCCAUACAUAGCGUGGAUUAUUUCCUACUGUCUCAUGGCGAGGCCUUCACUGAGCAGACCUUGCCCUCACCGACCAUGGCCCAUUGCAUUUCAGCACCAGCGUCAAUAAUCAACAACAUUUGCCCCGUUGGCCCAUUAGCGGCCAUCUUAAUCUGAAUGAUACAUUUACUUUCACUCAUUAGCUUCAAUCUCGUAGCACACCACUGGGAUACUUUAAUGAAACUACCGUUUAUGAACAUUACCGCAAAUCUGCUGCCUCUCUUUUUGAGCACAGCGUGCAGAAACCUUCUAAAACAGGGGUGGGCAAACUUUUUGACUCGCGGGCCGCAUUGAUGUGACAAAAUUUACGGGGGGGGCAGACUAUAUAUUUUACACGUAACAGUCCACCUGGUAUUAUUGUAUCUGUAAAAUUGUCAUGCAAUCUGCUAUUAUUAUUUAUUAUUUUAUAUUUAUAUUUAAAUAUUCUAAUAAUAAUAAAAUAUUAUAAUAAUUACAAUAAAAUUAAAAUAAUAAUUAUUAUAUUAUUAUUAUGUAAAAUAUGCAAAUAUAAAAUAAUAUAUAUAAUUAAUAUAAUAAUUAGCAUUAAUAUAAUAAUUAUAAUAAUCAUAACAGUUCUAAUAAUAAUUGUAAUAAUCUAAUUAUUUUUUUAUAUUAUUUGUUAUUAUUAUUUUAUAUUAUUAUUAUUAUUAUGUGCCUGUGUCCCUUUUUUCAGGAGCACUUAGUAAACAACAGACCGCAUCAAAUAACGAAAUUGAUAAAACAGCCAAACCAUGAAAAUGUCGGCUUAAGCCAUGAUGCCAGGUUGUAUGUUGACUUUAAAUGAAAUACUUUGGAAAGAACGGGCGGGCCGUAUUCAAACACUUGGCGGGCCGGAUGUGGCCCCCGGGCCGUAGUUUGCCCACCCCUGUUCUAAAAUAUUAUGUGGAUGUUGGAGUAUUGUUGCAUGCUUGAACCAUAGGAUAGUGUCUCUAUACGCCUCUUCUGUAUGAUGUGCUGUAGAUAGUAAUAUGAUUGAAUAAUGCUCACAUUGAAUGAAACAAUGCUUUGAUAUUGUUGUUGCUUGUCAUUUUCCGUACACGCUUAAUAAAGGCAAAAUAAUGAUAAUAAUGACUUUGACUUCCAGCAGAAUUCCAUAAAAUCCCAGGUUGCUUCCUGAAAGGUAACAACUCUUUGUUUAGGAAUGCUCAGACAAACCUCUUCACAAUUAUGCAUUCAAGUUGCACCGUCCCUCGCUGCCCCCGCUAGGUUC